rnacentral:SRP_RNA from 1 species
UACGAGUGGUGUACGAUAGAUGGUUGUGAACCUCGUCAGAUCCGGAAGGAAGCAGCGAUAAACAGUUUAAUCUAUGUGUUCACCAUUCAUAUAA